GAUGAACGCUGGCGGCGUGCCUAAUACAUGCAAGUCGAGCGAACGGACGAGAAGCUUGCUUCUCUGAUGUUAGCGGCGGACGGGUGAGUAACACGUGGAUAACCUACCUAUAAGACUGGGAUAACUUCGGGAAACCGUAGCUAAUACCGGAUAAUAUUUUGAACCGCAUGGUUCAAAAGUGAAAGACGGUCUUGCUGUCACUUAUAGAUGGAUCCGCGCUGCAUUAGCUAGUUGGUAAGGUAACGGCUUACCAAGGCAACGAUGCAUAGCCGACCUGAGAGGGGAAGCGGCCCAAACGGAAAUGGAGACCGGUCCCGGACCCUAAGGGGGGCAGCAAUAGGGAAAUUUCCGGAAUGGGCGAAAGCCUGACGGGGCAACGCCGGGGGAGUGAUGAAGGGCUUCGGAUCGUAAAACUCUUUUAUUAGGGAAGAACAAAUGGGUAAGGAAAUUGGCAAAUCUUGAAGGUACCUUAUCAGAAAGCCCCGGCUAACUACC
rnacentral:rRNA from 1 species